AGCCAUCUCCCUGGCCCCAGUCUGGCACAAUUUGAGCUUGCUACAGCAAGAAAGUCUAACCUAUUCUAGCACUCUCCCCACUGUGAGAUAGGCUGUUAUAUAGACUGAAACAGU
rnacentral:snoRNA from 1 species